CGGGUGUGGGAGGGAGAACAAUGCUGUCCUGGCACCAGUGACAUCAGUGGCCUGGCCUGGAGGGGACCUUGAAAGCUGUUCUUUGGACCCAGCAAAGCCCCACCGUGGUUGGAACGUGGGUCUCUGAGUGACUGCGUGGAGAAGAACCACUACCCUCUGCCCAAUGUAUUGGUGACAUCAGUGAGCUGUAAACUGUUAUUGGACUAAGCCAUCAAGAUUUGGGCGUUUGUUUGUUACCACAGCAACACCUGCUUUGCACGGACUAAUACAUCAUGUUCACAGACACUGCUGAUGUGUUUCACCAGAUUUAGUUUUCUCCUGAUGGUUUCUGCAGCGGGUUCUGGAGCUGUGUUCCUACCUCAAUACCUACCCUAGCAUCAAAGUCCCUGGUGGGAAAGCAAUGCUUUCUCACAUUAUGAAGAUGGAAAAGAAUAUCGUCAGGGAGAACAUCACCAGCCCAGAAAAUUGGCUGUCAGCUCCAGGCCUCCAACCCUUAUAUUUAUUCCUGGGAAACCCUUGCUAAGUUAGGCAUUGAUUCUCUGCAUGUGACACGCCAUAAUAACUUCUAACUUGGAGAGUUGGCUUGUUUUCACUCAUUCAUUCAACAAAUGUUUCCUGAACUCAUAUUCUGUCUGGGCUUCCACCAAUAUUGAUUGGGAUCCUGCUCUGUGUUAGGCAGUGUUCAGCCCUGCCCUCAGAGAGCUUCCAUGCAUGGAGGGAGACAGACAGAAGGAAGUAGGACGUGUUGUGUGAUAAUCAAUGUUAGGGGCAAAUAAAGCAGAGCCGGG
rnacentral:lncRNA from 1 species